CCUACGGGAGGCAGCAGUGAGGAAUAUUGGUCAAUGGCCGAGAGGCUGAACCAGCCAAGUCGCGUGAGGGAAGACGGCCCUACGGGUUGUAAACCUCUUUUGUCGGGGAGCAAAGAGAGUCACGUGUGACUCAUGGAGAGUACCCGCAGAAAAAGCAUCGGCUAACUCCGUGCCAGCAGCCGCGGUAAGCCGGAGGAUGCGAGCGUUAUCCGGAUUUAUUGGGGUUAAAGGGUGCGCAGGCGGAGGUGCAAGUCAGCGGUCAAAUGGCGGGGCUCAACCCCGUACUGCCGUUGAAACUGCAUCCCUUGAGUGCGCGAGAAGUAUGCGGAAUGCGUGGUGUAGCGGUGAAAUGCAUAGAUAUCACGCAGAACUCCGAUUGCGAAGGCAGCAUACCGGCGCGCAACUGACGCUCAUGCACGAAAGCGUGGGUAUCGAACAGGAUUAGAUACCCGAGUAGUC
rnacentral:rRNA from 1 species